rnacentral:misc_RNA from 1 species
GAUGAAGAACGCAGCGAAAUGCGAUAAGUAGUGUGAAUUGCAGAAUUCAGUGAAUCAUCGAAUCUUUGAACGCACAUUGCGCCCCUUGGUAUUCCAUGGGGCAUGCUUGUUCGAGCGUCAUUUGUACCUUCAAGCUUUGCUUGGUGUUGGGUGUUUGUCCUGAGGGACUCGCCUUAAAGUAAUUGGCAGCCAGUGUUUGGUUUUGAAGCGCAGCACAAGUCGCGAUUCAAAGCUAUACGCCCGCUUCCACAAGCCUUUUUCACUUUUGACCUCGGAUCAGGUAGGGAUACCCGCUGAACUUAAGCAUAUCAAUAAGCGGAGGA